CCCGCCUCGACCGGGCCCGCCCCCUCGGGUCGCCCGGACUCGCAGUGCCCCCCGCCCGCCGCCGAGAGGGAGGUUGGGGGCAGCUCGGCGACUGGACGCGCGCAGCAGGGCUGAGGCGACUCUGCAAAUAUGAAUGGGUCUCCACCUACCAGAAUGACUAAAAUGAGAAUGACGAACCAUACCAAGAGCAGAGGAAGAAGCAGAGCGCCUGGACUUCUCCUGUUUCUGGGGGAGUAUAAAUUGGCAGAGACACUUUGGAAAACUGGCCGUUUUCUAGUGGAGACGAACAUACACCGACCCUAUGAUCCAGCAAUUCCACUCCCAGGUCGUCAACACCCAACAGAAACAGAAACGUGUAGGUAUGAGCACCAAGAGUACUGGAAUGUUCAUAGCACUAUUCAUAAUAGCCUCAAACUGGAAACAACCCAUUAACAGGAGAGUGGAAAUGAACUAUAGCUUGUUCACACUAUGGACACAGCAAGAGAAUGAUGCCCUGCUACACCCAACCACAGGGACAUGUCUCGUGAAAGAAGUCAGAUUCAACAGUAAGCACUGUAUGAUUCCGUUUAUAUGAAGUUCAAAAUCAGAUAAAACUAAUUUACGGCAUGAGAAGUCAGGAUAGUGGUCAUCCUGUUCUAUUUCUUAAUCUGGUGCUGAGGCCCUGGGCAUAUUUACUCUGUGAAAAUUUAUCUAGCUGUACACUUAGGAUGUGUGCACUUUUCCCUAUGCAUAUUAUCCUUUAAUUAAAAGUUUACUUAGAAUGAGUGUA